rnacentral:rRNA from 1 species
CGUGUAGGCGGCUUUGCAAGUCGGGUGUGAAAUCCCUCAGCUCAACUGAGGAAGUGCGCCCGAAACUGCAUGGCUUGAGUACCGGAGAGGAUGGUGGAAUUCCCGAAGUAGAGGUGAAAUUCGUAGAUAUCGGGAGGAACACCGGUGGCGAAGGCGACCAUCUGGACGGAUACUGACGCUGAGACGCGAAAGCGUGGGUAGCAAACA